rfam:Triticum aestivum genome assembly, contig: Triticum_aestivum_CS42_TGACv1_scaffold_288838_4AL
CUUCUACUCCCUCCGUUCCAAAAUAGAUGACUCAACUUUGUACUAACUUUCUAAAGUUAGUAAAGUUAGUACAAAGUUGAGUCAUCUAUUUUGGAACGGAGGGAGUAGAUA